UCCGAUAUGGUGUAGUGGCUAACAUUCCGCGUUUUCAAGUCCUUGAUCCGCGGCGCCCGGGGUUCGAUUCCCCGUUUCGGAG
rnacentral:tRNA from 1 species